rnacentral:rRNA from 1 species
GAUUUCCUGAGUAACGGCGAGCGAAAAGGAAAGAGUCCAGCGCCAAGUCUUGACACAGAUGUGUGUUCAAGAGAUGCGGCGUUAAUGUAUUGGCGCAUCAUACAUUGCUUACUGUUUCAAGUUCCUUUGACAGGGACAUCCAGAGCGGGUGCUAGGCCCAUAGGAAACUGGUAUAGGCUGAUGUAUGCAGGCCAAUUCAUUCUAGAGUCAAGUUGCUUGAGAGUGCAGCUUAAAGUAGGUGGUAAACUCCAUCUAAGGCUAAAUAUGACAGCGAGACCGAUAGCAAACAAGUACCGUGAGGGAAAGUUGCAAAGCACUUUGAAGAGAGGGUUAAAUAGUACGUGAAACCACUGGGAGGUAAACAGAUGGAGCCACGAAGUGUGCGCCUCAGUCGAUUCAAUCAACACUUGUAAUUAGGGGUGCUUUCUUGUGAAUCUUUUUCGGAGAUUGAAGGAGCGCUCUCUUAAUUCGAAUUGCAGGUGUUGAUGCAUUUCGUGCUGAGGAUGCGAAGCCACGUUCGAUUAGAUGGUUGGGACGGCCGUAGGAAACAAUUUGGAAAAGGUAGCCGUGAAAUGUGUUUCACAUUUUGUGGUGUUAUAGUUCCAGAUUGAUGAACCGUCGCCUAACGUACUGAUCGAUAUAAUUUCUCCUAUAAAAAAAUAUAUUGGGAGUUGUGUAAAAGUUCAUGUCUACUCAUUGCAAUUAGGAAGUGGAUGAGAGUGCUUGCUUUCUGUUUCUUUGUUGGGGGUAGAAAGUCAUUUUCGUGUUGCUUGUUAAUUGUAAUGAAAUGUGUGUGACAUGAAUUAAACUGUGGUGCGAGUAGGUCGGUAUCCAUCUGACCCGUCUUGAAACACGGACCAAGGAGCCUAUCAUAUACGCGAGUCGCUCGGUCUUGUUUAGGCCAGAGAGGCAAAAUGAAAGUGAUUGUGCUACGAGGUUUUCCWAUUUAUAUGAGGGGAUAACUGCAGUAGCGGUCCGCCUACUUCGUUUAGAUGGCGAUUUGGCGGAAUCGGAGCGUAUACGAUGGUACCCGAAAGAUGGUGAACUAUGCCUGGGCAAGACGAAGCCAGAGGAAACUCUGGUGGAGGUCUGUAGCGAUUCUGACGUGCAAAUCGAUCGUCAGACCUGGGUAUAGGGGCGAAAGACUAAUCGAACCAUCUAGUAGCUGGUUCCCUUCGAAGUUUCCCUCASGAUAGCAGGCGCUUAAUUAAUUCAGUCUCAUCCGGUAAAGCUAAUGAUUAGAGGUCUUGGGGUUGAAACGACCUCAACCUAUUCUCAAACUUUAAAUGGGUGAGAUGGUUGACUUGCUUAACAUUUUUUGAAGCCAACCGAUAGGAUGUGAGUGCCUAGUGGGCCAGCUUUGGUAAGCAGAACUGGCGCUGUGGGAUGAACCAAACGUCGAGAUAAGGCAUCAAAUGCGCACGCUCAUGAGAUCCCAGAAAAGGUGUUGGUUGCUAUAGACAGCAGGACGGUGGCCAUGGAAGUUGGAAUCC